UGUACAUUCAGUAGUUGUAAUACAAAGAUAGUUUCCCUUAAAAAUUGUUCUCUCUUUUGUAAAUGUCCUAGAGAAAUAUAGUGGUUUUCUGUUCACACUUUGCAAAGUAAAAAGGGUGGAUCGUUCCACUGCUGACAUAU
rnacentral:snoRNA from 1 species